GAUGAACGCUGGCGGCGUGCCUAAUACAUGCAAGUCGAGCGAACGGACGAGAAGCUUGCUUCUCUGAUGUUAGCGGCGGACGGGUGAGUAACACGUGGAUAACCUACCUAUAAGACUGGGAUAACUUCGGGAAACCGUAGCUAAUACCGGAUAAUAUUUUGAACCGCAUGGUUCAAAAGUGAAAGACGGUCUUGCUGUCACUUAUAGAUGGAUCCGCGCUGCAUUAGCUAGUUGGUAGGGUAACGGCUUACCAAGGCAACGAUGCAUAGCCGACCUGAGAGGGUGAUCGGCCACACUGGAACUGAGACACGGUCCAGACUCCUACGGGAGGCAGCAGUAGGCAAUCUGCCGCUAUGGUCGAAAGUCUGACGCUGCAACACCGCGUGAGUAAUGAAAGAGUUCGGGUCGUUAACAUCUGUUAUUAGGGAAGAACAUAUGUGGAAGUAACUGUUCACAGAGUGACCGUUCCUAAUCAGAAAGCCACGGCUAUCUUCGUU
rnacentral:rRNA from 1 species